GCUUGUCUCAAAGAUUAAGCCAUGCAUGUCUAAGUGUAAAUAAGUCUAUACUGUGAAACUGCGAAUGGCUCAUUAAAUCAGUUAUCGUUUAUUUGAUGAUCUCUUACUACUUGGAUAACCGUAGUAAUUCUAGAGCUAAUACAUGCACAAAAUCCCGACUUACGAAGGGAUGUAUUUAUUAGAUACAAACCAACAUCGUGGUGAUUCAUAAUAACUUUGCGAAUCGUAUUGGGCACUUGCUGCCGACGAUGGAUCAUUCAAAUUUCUGACUUAUUAACUUUCGAUGGUAAGGUAGUGGCUUACCAUGGUCGCCAUGAGUAACGGAGGAUCAGGGUUCGAUUCCGGAGAGGGGGCCUGA
rnacentral:rRNA from 1 species